GUCCCCGCACAAGCAGCGGAGCGUGUGGUUUAAUUCGAGGCUACACGAAGAACCUUACCAGGGUUUGACAUGCUAGUGGUAGUGAAGUGAAAACGGAACGACCCUUCGGGGAGCUAGCACAGGUGCUGCAUGGCUGUCGUCAGCUCGUGUCGUGAGAUGUCAGGUUAAGUCCUGUAACGAGCGCAACCCUCGUCGUUAGUUAUACGUGUCUAACGAGACUGCCCGUGAUAAGCGGGAGGAAGGUGAGGAUGACGUCAAGUCAGCAUGGCCUUUAUAUCCUGGGCUACACACACGCUACAAUGGCCAGUACAAUGGGUUGCCAAAUCGCGAGAUGGAGCCAAUCCCGUAAAGCUGGUCUCAGUUCGGAUUGCAGGCUGCAACUCGCCUGCAUGAAGUCGGAGUUGCUAGUAACCGCGCGUCAGCUAUAGUGCGGUGAAUACGUUCCCGGGGAUU
rnacentral:rRNA from 1 species